GGCGCGGGCUCGAACAUUCAUAGGUAAAAUUCAUGUUGUCAUGAAACCCACCCUUAAUUUGUGCAGCAUGAAACAGUAUUUUCUCAAUGACCUUGUAGUCUUGAUGUGAAAUUAUGGCAGUAACAUGAUGUACCGACUACUGUCUGCAUUUUUCAGGAGCAUUUGUUAUCUCUAUUCUCUCAUCACCGCUAGACUAACAUUGAGUUGUGUUACUUUGACGAGUUUGAGACUUCUCAGAGCUCAGAUACUCUAAGGAGGAGCAAAUUCCCGUUGAAGAAUUUGAGAGAAGGAAUUUCACCUAUCUACUGAAGUGAGUUUUAUUAGUUUGUUCAAAUGGACCGUGCUGUCAUUUCGGAUGCGGAUACCAAACAAGUUUUUUAAUGCUUGGAGCAACUUUUGUUCAUUCGAUAAUAUUUGAUGAAUUCAACAUCGUGAUGCUUUAGUGCUCUAUCCCUUAUCCCGGGCAUGUGAAAGUGAAAACAGUGAAUACCCGCUCCAUUGGUGGCUA